rnacentral:rRNA from 1 species
AGAGCGAACGCUGGCGGCAGGCUUAACACAUGCAAGUCGAGCGGGCGUAGCAAUACGUCAGCGGCAGACGGGUGAGUAACGCGUGGGAACAUACCUUUGGUUCGGAACAACACAGGGAAACUUGUGCUAAUACCGGAUAAGCCCUUACGGGGAAAGAUUUAUCGCCGAAAGAUUGGCCCGCGUCUGAUUAGCUAGUUGGUGAGGUAACGGCUCACCAAGGCGACGAUCAGUAGCUGGUCUGAGAGGAUGAUCAGCCACAUUGGGACUGAGACACGGCCCAAACUCCUACGGGAGGCAGCAGUGGGAAUAUUGGACAAUGGGCGCAAGCCUGAUCCAGCCAUGCCGCGUGAGUGAUGAAGGCCCUAGGUUGUAAAGCUCUUUGUGCGGGAAGAUAAUGACGGUACCGCAACGAAUAAGCCCCGGCUAACUUCGUAGCCAGCAGCCGC